AAAUUAUGAUGUGGACAUCUUUUUAAAAACUCUACAAAUCGUUCUUACGCUUCAAAUAGGGAUUCAAACUUAUAUUACUAAAACUGGAAAUCAUUGCCACAAGCUU